AGAAUAGGCCUGCUCAGGACCACUCUGCGGUCGUCCUAUACAUACAGUCGAGCGGACAGUAGGAACCUUUCACCUAAGUAAGCACGGAGCGGUAGUAUCACGCGUGUAACUCGCACGUAUGACUGGAUAGUCCAGAAGCCGUAGAUAAUGCGGGAUCAUUCCUUUCCUGCAUAUUCAUGGAUGAAAGCCGCUUUCGGCUGUCAUUUGCCGUAGGACCCAAGGCGCAUUAGCUAAUUGAUUGGCUAAUGGUUCACCAGGUAGACGAUGGGUAACCGACCUAACAGGGUGAUCGUCCACACUGGGUCUGAGACGCGGAUCAGCCUCAUUCGGGAGGCACCAGUAGCGAAUCUUCUGCAAUAGACGACAGUCUGACGUAGCAACCCCGCGUGACAAACGAAGUUUUUCCGUUCGUAAAGAUUGAUUAUUACGUAAGAACAAUAACGAUAGUACCUCCUCGCACCUAAUCGGUACCUUACCAGAAAAACACGGGUAAAUACUUGCCCCCACCCCCGGUAAUAUGUGGGUGGCAAGCGUUUUCUUGAAUUUUUGGGGGUAAAAGGCUCGCGGGGGGUUUUUUAAAUGUGAUGGGAAAACUCCCGGAUCUCCCGUGGAGGGUCACUGGAAACUGGGAAACUUGAGAGCAGAAGAGGAGAGUGGAAUUUUACGUGUAGCGGGGAAAAGCUUAGAGAUAUGGAGGAACACCACUGGGGAAGGGGACUCUCUGGUCUGUAUUUGACACUGAGGGGCGAAAGAGUGGGGGGCGAACACGAUUAGAUACCCCGGUAGUCCACGCCCUAAACGAGGAGUAAUAAGUCUUUGGGGCAUCCGCCCUUUAGUGGCGCAGCUAAAACGCAUAAAAGCAUCCGCCUUGAGGUACGCACGUC
rnacentral:rRNA from 1 species